ACGCACUUCGGCCUGGCCUAGCCAGGAAAUCUGGUCCACCUGUUCUGAUGGGCCCCGAUUUCCUGGCCUAGACCAGGCCGAAGUGCGU